UACGUAGGGUGCGAGCGUUGUCCGGAAUUAUUGGGCGUAAAGAGCUCGUAGGCGGUGUGUCGCGUCGGCCGUGAAAACCUGCAGCUUAACUGUGGGCUUGCGGUCGAUACGGGCAUCACUGGAGUUCGGCAGGGGAGACUGGAAUUCCUGGUGUAGCGGUGAAAUGCGCAGAUAUCAGGAGGAACACCGGUGGCGAAGGCGGGUUGCUGGGCUGACACUGACGCUGGAAGCGACGGAAAGCUAGGGGAGCGAACGGG
rnacentral:rRNA from 1 species